UACGAAGGGGGCUAGCGUUGUUCGGAAUUACUGGGCGUAAAGCGCACGUAGGCGGAUUUGUAAGUCAGGGGUGAAAUCCCGGGGCUCAACCUCGGAACUGCCUUUGAUACUGCAAGUCUCGAGUCCGAUAGAGGUGAGUGGAAUUCCUAGUGUAGAGGUGAAAUUCGUAGAUAUUAGGAAGAACACCGGUGGCGAAGGCGGCCUGCUGGGCAGUGGCUGACGCUGAGGCGCGACAGCGUGGGGAGCAGACAGG
rnacentral:rRNA from 1 species